rnacentral:misc_RNA from 1 species
GAUGAAGAACGUAGUGAAAUGCGAUAAGUAAUGCGAAUUGCAGAAUUUCCGUGAGUCAUCGAAUCUUUGAACGCACAUUGCGCCCCCUGGUAUUCCGGGGGGCAUGCCUGUUCGAGCGUCAUUUCACCACUCAAGCCUCGCUUGGUAUUGGGCAACGCGGUCCGCCGCGUGCCUCAAAUCGACCGGCUGGGUCUUCUGUCCCCUAAGCGUUGUGGAAACUAUUCGCUAAAGGGUGUUCGGGAGGCUACGCCGUAAAACAACCCCAUUUCUAAGGUUGACCUCGGAUCAGGUAGGGAUACCCGCUGAACUUAAGCAUAUCAAUAAGCGGAGGA